rnacentral:rRNA from 1 species
AUUGAACGCUGGCGGCAUGCCUUACACAUGCAAGUCGAACGGCAGCAUGGAGAGCUUGCUCUCUGAUGGCGAGUGGCGAACGGGUGAGUAAUGCAUCGGAACGUACCGUGUAAUGGGGGAUAACGUAGCGAAAGUUACGCUAAUACCGCAUACGACCUGAGGGUGAAAGCAGGGGAUCGCAAGACCUUGCGUUAUACGAGCGGCCGAUGUCAGAUUAGCUAGUUGGCGAGGUAAAGGCUCACCAAGGCGACGAUCUGUAGCGGGUCUGAGAGGAUGAUCCGCCACACUGGGACUGGGACACGGCCCAGACUUCUACGGGAGGCAGCAGUGGGGAAUUUUGGACAAUGGGGGCAACCCUGAUCCAGCCAUGCCGCGUGAGUGAAGAAGGCCUUCGGGUUGUAAAGCUCUUUCGGCCGGGAAGAAAUCGCACAGGCUAAUACUCUGUGUGGAUGACGGUACCGGCAUAAGAAGCACCGGCUAACUACGUGCCAGCCGCCGCCGUAA